UCCUGGCUCAGAUUAAACGCUGGCGGCAUGCCUUACACAUGCAAGUCGAACGGCAGCACGGGGGCAACCCUGGUGGCGAGUGGCGGACGGGUGAGUAAAGCAUCGGAACGUAUCCUGGAGUGGGGGAUAACGUAGCGAAAGUUACGCUAAUACCGCAUAUUCUGUGAGCAGGAAAGCAGGGGAUCGCAAGACCUUGCGCUCUGGGAGCGGCCGAUGUCGGAUUAGCUAGUUGGUGGGGUAAAGGCCUACCAAGGCGACGAUCCGUAGCGGGGUCUGAGAGGAUGAUCCGCCACACUGGGACUGAGACACGGCCCAGACUCCUACGGGAGGCAGCAGUGGGGAAUUUUGGACAAUGGGCGGAAGCCUGAUCCAGCCAUGCCGCGUGAGUGAAGAAGGCCUCGGUGUAAGACGUCUUCGUCGGGUAGGAAGUAG
rnacentral:rRNA from 1 species